rnacentral:rRNA from 1 species
AUUGAACGCUGGCGGCAGGCCUAACACAUGCAAGUCGAACGAGUGGGGGACGGGUGAGAAAUGUGUGGGAAACCGCCUGAUGGAGGGGGAAAAACACUGGAAAGGGUAGCUAACCGCGUAUACCAUGGGAUGCCCCCAGAUGGGAUUAGCUAGUGGGUGGGGUAAAGGCUCCCCUGGGCGACGAUCCCUAGCUGGUCUGAGAGGAUGACCAGCCACACUGGAACUGAGACACGGUCCAGACUCCGACGGGAGGCAGCAGUGGGGAAUAUUGCACAAUGGGCGCAAGCCUGAUGCAGCCAUGCCGCGUGUAUGAAGAAGGCCUUAGGGUUGUAAAGUACUUUCAGCCGGGAGGCGUUACCCACAGAAGAAGCACCGGCUAACUCCGUGCCAGCAGCCGCGGUAAUAC